CCGUCAAAGUGGUGUGUGUUAUGCCGCAUAAGUGAACUUCUUUUCGGAAGUUUUGGUUCAUAUCACAGCCAGCUUUGAUGUGC
rnacentral:pre_miRNA from 1 species